UAAGGAAUAUUGGUCAAUGGACGCAAGUCUGAACCAGCCAUGCCGCGUGAAGGAUUAAGGCCCUCUGGGUUGUAAACUUCUUUUAUAGGGGAAGAAAUGUGACGGUUCUCCGUCACUUGACGGUACCCUGGGAAUAAGCACCGGCUAACUCCGUGCCAGCAGCCGCGGUAAUACGGAGGGUGCAAGCGUUAUCCGGAUUCACUGGGUUUAAAGGGUGCGUAGGUGGGCAGAUAAGUCAGUGGUGAGAUCUUCCGGCUUAACCGGGAAAAUGCCGUUGAUACUAUUUGUCUUGAAUAUUGCGGAGGUAAGCGGAAUAUGUCAUGUAGCGGUGAAAUGCUUAGAUAAGACAUAGAACACCAAUUGCGAAGGCAGCUUACUACACAAUCAUUGACACUGAGGCACGAAAGCGUGGGUAGCGAACA
rnacentral:rRNA from 1 species